rnacentral:lncRNA from 1 species
UUACAAUCCAAAAACAUUUACACUUUGGUUUUCCGGGAUCACCAAAAACCUAUGUUGGUUUUACGGGCUCACCAACAAACCUUCACAGUUGGUUUUACGGGUUCACUAACAAACCUACACCGUUGGUUUUACGGACUCACUAACGAACCUUUACAAGGUGAUUAAGAAGAAUAAGAAAGUUCAAACUCCUAGAUUAGCAAAUAUAACAACUAUGAGCUACAAAGAAGAGUUUAGAAUAUAGUUAUCGCUUUGAUGAGACUUCUCUCUUCUUUGUCAAGAUUGCUUCACUCUUCAAGGGUUGGUGGAGCUCUUAAUGUCUCUUAGAAUCUGCUCAACCACUUCCUUUUGUCUCUUUGAAUGAAGCACUUGAAUGAAGAAUGCUAGGACUUUUUCUUUCUUGAAUGAGCUUUGAUUUCUUUGCAAAAGGAUAUCUUCUCUGAUGAAUAGUGUCACUUUAAAUACUUUCCCUCAUCCAUUGGUCACCCCCCAUUGGUUCGAUUUCAAAAACUAGCCGUUACUUGCUGUUGGGAGGUCAAAAAGUACUUCUGCAGAACUAGCCGUUAUGCUUCUGCCCGUGCUGGGGUCGACCCAAACUUUUCUGGGGUCGACUCAAACCAUUGUUCAUCAUACUUGGGAUCGACUCAACUUUUACUGGGGUCGAUCAAACUUUCACUGGGGUCGACUCCUGCUACAUUGGGGUCGGCCCUCUCAGGAAACACAGAACCUUAUAUUUCAGCUGUUUUUCACUGGGGUCGACUCAAGCCAUAGUGGGGUCGAC